GACGAACGCUGGAGGCGUGCUUAACACAUGCAAGUCGAACGAUGAAAUGGAGCUUGCUCCAUGGAUUAGUGGCGAACGGGUGAGUAACACGUGAAUAACCUGCCCUUAAUUUUGGAAUAACCCAGGGAAACCUGGGCUAAUACCGGAUAAGUAAACCUGUGGCAUCACAUGGUUUUGGAAAGUUUUUCGAUUAAGGAUGGAUUCGCGGCCUAUCAGCUUGUUGGUGAGGUAAUGGCUCACCAAGGCGACGACGGGUAGCCGGCCUGAGAGGGUAAACGGCCACACUGGGACUGAGACACGGCCCAGACUCUUACGGGAGGCAGCAGUGGGGAAUAUUGCGCAAUGGACGAAAGUCUGACGCAGCGACGCCUCGUGAGGGACGAAGGUCUUCGGAUUGUAAACCUCUUUCAGCAGGGACGAAGCGAAAGUGACGGUACCUGCAGAAGAAGCACCGGCUAACUAUGUGCCAGCAGCCGCGGUAA
rnacentral:rRNA from 1 species